GGGGAUGCCACGGCAUUCGACAGAGAUCUUUAAAAGUAUGGUUUUGCGUUCACGGGAUUGCACCGUCUCCCGUCAUAUCCGUCGGUGCACAAUAACUGCAAAUAAUGCAGAGGAAACAGCAUUUGUUAACCGACUUCGGUUGGUUCCAGCUUUUGCUUAACCAAAUCUCUUCCCUUAAUUGAGGAAGACGUCGUAUGGUGCGAGGCUUCGUAACAUCACUACGGCGUAACUUUCGAGGCUCGGGGUACUGUGCCGCCAGUACACUUAAACUUUGGCUCAAGCUGUGUGAGUUUUUUGGCUCUUUUAUAUUCACACGGACGAAAAUUCAAAACCGCCUACGAACGUAGACGAUCCAUGCUUUUGUUUCUGCACGGGGGUUCGACUCCCCCCAUCUCCACCA
rnacentral:tmRNA from 1 species